GGGAAGUUGGCUCAGUGGUAGAGUGCUUGCCUUGCAUGCAUGAGAUCCUCAAUUUGAUUCCUCA
rnacentral:tRNA from 1 species